GAUGAACGCUGGCGGCGUGCCUAAUACAUGCAAGUCGAGCGAACAGACGAGGAGCUUGCUCCUCUGACGUUAGCGGCGGACGGGUGAGUAACACGUGGAUAACCUACCUAUAAGACUGGGAUAACUUCGGGAAACCGGAGCUAAUACCGGAUAAUAUAUUGAACCGCAUGGUUCAAUAGUGAAAGACGGUUUUGCUGUCACUUAUAGAUGGAUCCGCGCCGCAUUAGCUAGUUGGUAAGGUAACGGCUUACCAAGGCGGCGAUGCGUAGCCGACCUGAGAGGGUGAUCGCCCACCCUGGAACUGAGACACGGUCCAGACUCCUACGGGAGGCAGCAGUAGGGAAUCUUCCGCAAUGGGCGAAAGCCUGACGGAGCAACGCCGCGUGAGUGAUGAAGGUCUUCGGAUCGUAAAACUCUGUUAUUAGGGAAGAACAAAUGUGUAAGUAACUAUGCACGUCUUGACGGUACCUAAUCAGAAAGCCACGGCUAACUACGUG
rnacentral:rRNA from 1 species